rnacentral:rRNA from 1 species
AGUAACGCGUGAGUAACCUGCCUUACACAAGGGAUAGCCUUUGGAAACGAAGAAUAAUACCCUAUAAAACCAUAAAAGCACGUGCUAGAAUGGUCAAAGUGAUAGCGGUGUAAGAUGGACUUGCGUCUGAUUAGCUAGUUGGUGAGAUAAAAGCUCACCAAGGCAACGAUCAGUAGCCGGCUUGAGAGAGUGUACGGCCACAUUGGGGCUGAGACACGGCCCAG